rnacentral:rRNA from 1 species
GUCGUGGGCGUAGGAAAUUAGAGAGGAGCUGUCCUUAUUAAGAGAGGACCGGGAUGCACGCAAAGCACGUGUACAAGUUGUUCUGACAAGGGCAUAGCAGCGUAGCUAUGUGCGGAAGGGAUAAGUGCUGAAAGCAUCUAAGCAUGAAGCCCCCCUCAAGAUGAGAUUUCCCAUAGCGUAAGCUAGUAAGAUCCCUGAAAGAUUAUCAGGUUGAUAGGUUCGAUGUGGAAGCAUGGUGACAUGUGGAGCUGACGAAUACUAAUAGAUCGAGGACUUAACCAU